AUUAGUUUGAAAUUUUUUAUGAAUUGUGUUUUUUGUUUUUUAUUAAAGUGUUUAUUACAUGCUAGUGUUUAUUAUUUUGUAUCUUCAUAAAAAGCAUUAUUUAAGUAGUGAGUUAAAAGAUGGAAAAGUAAAGCCGAAACAAAGUUUCACUACAAUAGUUGAAACAGAGAUGCAUGCAUUGAUAGCAGAAGUACGGAUCACAUUGCUAUCAGAAGAUUCCAAUUCCAGAAGUUGUCAGUAUAUUGUAUUAUUUUUUAUAUAUAUAUAUAUAGCAAGUAAUGCAAUAUAUAUAUAUUAAGUUAAUAAAACUAAUAAUAUGCAUUAUAUAAACAAUAGAAAUUUUAUGCUGCAUAUAAAUGGCA
rnacentral:lncRNA from 1 species